UACGUAGGGUGCGAGCGUUGUCCGGAAUGACUGGGUGUAAAGGGUGUGUAGGUGGCUUUUUAAGUUAAAAGUGAAAGCCCGGGGCUUAACUCCGGAACUGCUUUUAAUACUGGAUGGCUUGAGUGUGGGAGAGGUAAGUGGAACUCCUAGUGUAGCGGUGGAAUGCGUAGAUAUUAGGAAGAACAUCAGAGGCGAAGGCGACUUACUGGAACAUUACUGACACUGAAACACGAAAGCGUGGGGAG
rnacentral:rRNA from 1 species